GCCUAUGGCCAUUCCACCCUGAACAUACCCAGUCUCAUAACAGAAGCUAAGUAGAGUUGGGCCUGGUUAACACUUGGAUAGGAGAAUUGUGAGCUCCGAGAAAGCUGAAGCA
rnacentral:rRNA from 1 species